AUAUAUAUAUAUAUAUAUAUAUAUAUAUAUAUAUAUAUAUAUAUAUACAUAUAUAUACAUAUAUAUAUAUAUAUAUAUAGUGAGGAAAUAAAUAUUUAACAACCAGGGCAAAAUGUAAAUUUUCCAUCAUUAUUGAAUUUAUUGAAGAAAUAAGGAGAUAUCAGGAAUAACCAGCAGACACAGGACAGUAUAUUCAGGGAGACACAUGGGAACCCAGGAGCAGUUACAUGCUGUUAUAUCAGGAAUAACCAGCAGACACAGGGAGACACAUGGGAACCCAGGAGCAGUUACAUGCUGUUAUAUCAGGAAUAACCAGCAGACACACAGGACAGUAUAUUCAGGGAGACACAUGGGAACACAGGAGCAGUUACAUGCUUUUAGUGGUUUUGGUCCGACUGUAGUCGGCCUUCCACAGUUGAUUACAGCUCCUUCAAUAUCAGUGUGUUGAAUUAGAAAGACAACCCUCCAUUCUGAUAAAACCACAAAUUAUACAGAGGGAAAAACCCCCGGACGUUUAACAAUUCUCCCGAUUCAUAAAACGUCUCAAUUCUGACACAACCAGCUAAAAAGAAAACAGUUAAUUGUAAUUUAUUAAAAGUGCCGUUAGCUAA
rnacentral:lncRNA from 1 species